ACGACCUUACUUGAACAGGAUCUGUUCUAUAGGCUCGUACUACUGUGUCCUUGAUUUCUAAGGAGACAGGAACAUAAAUCUGGUGGAUGAAGCAUUACCGUGCGAUCAGAGCGUGAUUAACGGCCUUGAUGAUCCUCAGUUUGAGUUAUCAUUCUAAGCUGUGGGUGAUCGUUCUCGGAAGUGUUCGCACUCUCGGGGUGGUCGCUCGGUGUUCUGACAGAUU